UACGUAGGGGCGAGCGUUAUCCGGAUUCAUUGGGCGUAAAGCGCGCGUAGGCGGCCCGUUAGGUCGGGAGUUAAAUCCCGGGGCUCAACCCCGGCACGCUCCCGAUACCGGCGGGCUUGAGUCUGGUAGGGGAAGGCGGAAUUCCCAGUGUAGCGGUGGAAUGCGCAGAUAUUAGGAGGAACACCGGUGGCGAAGGCAGAUCUCUGGGCCGUUACUGACGCUGAGGAGCGAAAGCAUGGGGAGCGAACAGGAUUAGAUACCCUGGUAGUCCCUGAGCGGGCU
rnacentral:rRNA from 1 species